CGCUAGCUUCAGGCUUAACACAUGCUAGUCGAGGGGCAGCCUGGUCCUAGCUGGUUCCAACCGAUGGCGACCGGCGCACGGGUGAGUAACACGUAUCCAACCUGCCGUCUACUCUUGGACAGCCUUCUGAAAGGAAGAUUAAUACAAGAUGGCAUCAUGAGUCCGCAUGUUCACAUGAUUAAAGGUAUUCCGGUAGACGAUGGGGAUGCGUUCCAUUAGAUAGUAGGCGGGGUAACGGCCCACCUAGUCUUCGAUGGAUAGGGGUUCUGAGAGGAAGGUCCCCCACAUUGGAACUGAGACACGGUCCAAACUCCUACGGGAGGCAGCAGUGAGGAAUAUUGGUCAAUGGGCGAGAGCCUGAACCAGCCAAGUAGCGUGAAGGAUGACUGCCCUAUGGGUUGUAAACUUCUUUUAUAAAGGAAUAAAGUCGGGUAUGGAUACCCGUUUGCAUGUACUUUAUGAAUAAGGAUCGGCUAACUCCGUGCCAGCAGCCGCGGUAAUACGGAGGAUCCGAGCGUUAUCCGGAUUUAUUGGGUUUAAAGGGAGCGUAGAUGGAUGUUUAAGUCAGUUGUGAAAGUUUGCGGCUCAACCGUAAAAUUGCAGUUGAUACUGGAUAUCUUGAGUGCAGUUGAGGCAGGCGGAAUUCGUGGUGUAGCGGUGAAAUGCUUAGAUAUCACGAAGAACUCCGAUUGCGAAGGCAGCCUGCUAAGCUGCAACUGACAUUGAGGCUCGAAAGUGUGGGUAUCAAACAGGAUUAGAUACCCUGGUAGUCCACACGGUAAACGAUGAAUACUCGCUGUUUGCGAUAUACAGCAAGCGGCCAAGCGAAAGCGUUAAGUAUUCCACCUGGGGAGUACGCCGGCAACGGUGAAACUCAAAGGAAUUGACGGGGGCCCGCACAAGCGGAGGAACAUGUGGUUUAAUUCGAUGAUACGCGAGGAACCUUACCCGGGCUUAAAUUGCAGAUGAAUUACGGUGAAAGCCGUAAGCCGCAAGGCAUCUGUGAAGGUGCUGCAUGGUUGUCGUCAGCUCGUGCCGUGAGGUGUCGGCUUAAGUGCCAUAACGAGCGCAACCCUUGUUGUCAGUUACUAACAGGUUCCGCUGAGGACUCUGACAAGACUGCCAUCGUAAGAUGUGAGGAAGGUGGGGAUGACGUCAAAUCAGCACGGCCCUUACGUCCGGGGCUACACACGUGUUACAAUGGGGGGUACAGAGGGCCGCUACCACGCGAGUGGAUGCCAAUCCCCAAAACCUCUCUCAGUUCGGACUGGAGUCUGCAACCCGACUCCACGAAGCUGGAUUCGCUAGUAAUCGCGCAUCAGCCACGGCGCGGUGAAUACGUUCCCGGGCCUUGUACACACCGCCCGUCAAGCCAUGGGAGCCGGGGGUACCUGAAGUGCGUAACCGCGAGGAGCGCCCUAGGGUAAAACUGGUG
rnacentral:rRNA from 1 species